rnacentral:rRNA from 1 species
CGGUGUUUAACUGGCGUGAUGUGGGACGUCCUACCGGUGGGCUUAGCCUCGCGAGGGGCGGCCCAACUAAUAUCCCGUCGCGGUGCUCUUUACUGAGUGUCGAGUCGGGCCGGUACUUUUACUUUGAACAAAUUAGAGUGCUUAAAGCAGGCUAUCCUCGCCUGAAUACUGCGUGCAUGGAAUAAUGGAAUAGGACCUCGGUUCUAUUUUGUUGGUUUUCGGAACCCCGAGGUAAUGAUUAAUAGGGACAGAUGGGGGCAUUCGUAUUGCGACGUUAGAGGUGAAAUUCUUGGAUCGUCGCAAGACGGACAGAAGCGAAAGCAUUUGCCAAAAAUGUUUUCAUUAAUCAAGAACGAAAGUUAGAGGUUCGAAGGCGAUCAUAUACCGCCCUAGUUCUAACCAUAAACGAUGCCAGCUAGCGAUCCGCCAAAGUUCCUCCGAUGACUCGGCGGGCAGCUUCCGGGAAACCAAAGAUUUUGGGUUCCGGGGAGAAGUAUGGUUGCAAAGCUGAAAAUUAAAGGAAUUGAGGGAAGGGCACCACCAGGAGUGGAGCGCGCGGGUUAAUUUGACUCAACACGGGAAACCUCACCAGGCCCAGACACCGGAAGGAUUGACAGAUUGAUAGAUCUUUCUUGAUUCGGUGGGUGGUGGUGCAUGGCCGUUUUUAGUUGGUGGAGCGAUUUGUCUGGUUAAUUCUGAUAACGAACGAGACUCUAGCCUGCUAAAUAGGCGUACCUUAUGGUAUCGCGAAGGCCCCCGGCUUCGGCCGGUGGGUUUUUACUACCAACGUACAAACAAAUCUUCUUAGAGGGACAGGCGG